rnacentral:rRNA from 1 species
AUUGAACGCUGGCGGCAUGCCUUACACAUGCAAGUCGAACGGUAACAGGUUAAGCUGACGAGUGGCGAACGGGUGAGUAAUAUAUCGGAACGUGCCCAGUCGUGGGGGAUAACGUAGCGAAAGCUACGCUAAUACCGCAUACGAUCUACGGAUGAAAGCGGGGGAUCGCAAGACCUCGCGCGAUUGGAGCGGCCGAUAUCAGAUUAGGUUUUCGGUGAGGUAAAAGCUCACCAAGCCUGCGAUCUGUAGCUGGUCUGAGAGGACGACCAGCCGAACGGAAACAGAGACACGGUCCAGACUCCUACGGGAGGCAGCAGUGGGGAAUUUUGGGUAAUGGACGCAAGUCUGAUCCAGCAAUCCCGCGUGCAGGACAAAGGCCUUCGGGUUGUAAACUGCUUUUGUACGGAACGAAACGGUGAGCUCUAAUACAGUUUGCUAAUGACGGUACCGUAAGAAUAAGCACCGGCUAACUACGUGCCAGCCGCCGCUGUAA